rnacentral:rRNA from 1 species
CAGCAGCCACGGUAACACCAGCAGCCCAAGUGGUGGUCGCGUUUAUUGGGCCUAAAGCGCUCGUAGCCUGACCGGUAAGUUCCCCGUGAAAUCGGGUCGCCCAACGAUUCGGCUUGCGGGGAAUACUGUCGGUCUUGGGGCCGGGAGACGCCGAGGGUACUCCGGGGGUAGCGGUGAAAUGCUGUAAUCCUCGGGGGACUACCAGUGGCGAAGGCGCUCGGCGAUAGCGGGCCUGACGGUGAGGGGCGAAAGCUGGGGGCGCGAACGGGAUUAGAUACCCCGGUAGUCCCUGUCUCUUAAC